rnacentral:rRNA from 1 species
AAUCAACGCUGGCGGCGUGCCUCAGACAUGCAAGUCGAACGAUUAAAGCUCUCUUCGGAGAGUGUAUAGAGUGGCGCACGGGUGAGUAACACGUAAGUAAUCUACCUUUGAGUGGGGAAUAACCCGGGGAACCCGAGCUAAUACCGCAUAAUGCAGCGGCAUCGCAAGAUGACAGUUGUUAAAGGAGCAAUCCGCUUAAAGAGGAGCUUGCGGCAGAUUAGCUAGUUGGUAAGGUAAUGGCUUACCAAGGCUACGAUCUGUAUCCGGUCUAAGAGGACGGUCGGACACACUGACACUGAAUAACGGGUCAGACUCCUACGGGAGGCAGCAGUCGGGAAUUUUGGGCAAUGGGCGAAAGCCUGACCAGCAACGCCGCGUGAAGGAUGAAGUAUUUCGGUAUGUAAAC